rnacentral:rRNA from 1 species
UACGUAGGGGGCUAGCGUUGUCCGGAAUCAUUGGGCGUAAAGAGCGUGUAGGCGGUCCGGUAAGUCGGUUGUGAAAGUCCAGGGCUCAACCCUGGGAUGCCGACCGAUACUGUCGGACUAGAGUUCGGAAGAGGCGAGUGGAAUUCCCGGUGUAGCGGUGAAAUGCGCAGAUAUCGGGAGGAACACCAAUGGCGAAGGCAGCUCGCUGGGACGUUACUGACGCUGAGACGCGAAAGCGUGGGGAGCAAACAGG